GCCGCGGUGGCGCAGUAGGGAGAGCGCCGCUCCCUCGCCUCUGAGGUCGGGGGUUCGAGCCCCGCCGCGGCC